GUUCCUUGGGGACAGCUCUACUGAUCUCAGCUGGGCUUGCUCAUAUGUGUCUGCAGAUUGCCUGGAAAGACAAGGUCUUGCUUUGACACCCAGGCUGGAGUGCAGUAGUGCAAUCAGAGGUCAUUACAGCCUCCAACUCCUGGGCUUAAGUGAUCCUCCUGCCUCAUCCUCCCAAGCAGCUGGAGCUACAAGUGUGCACCAUCAUGCCUGGCCCCUUUAUUCCUAAACGUUUCUUCAUGAAGGAAGAUACAAAUUUACAUGAGCCCAUGCUCUUCACAUGGGUAAGGGGAAAACAGAGAGAACUCACAGGGCACCCACAUAUUGUGCUUUAUCAUUUGACCUAGGAACAGUCUUGAAUAGGCAGCUUGGGUUUCUACUCCCAGAAAAUACUUUGACAUACAUUAAUUUAUUCACUUAAAACUCAUUAUUUCCUGGGUUUCCAUGCAGUGUCUCUGAAACUCACUCUUCCCCCUUUAUUCUCACAAUAUUGUAAAUAUCCUUAAUAUAAUCUAUCCUGCAAUUUCUUAUUGCUGCAUGCCCUCCUUCCUUCUUGGAGUGUGAGCUCUUUGGUGACAGGGACUACAUAUGCUUUCUCAUCCUUCCAGCACCUGUAACUGUUUCUGGCAUAUGUCGAGUAAUCGAUAAAAAACUUUAAGAUCUGCUAAUGAAUCAAGUUAUCGGUGAUUGUGCCUGGUAUCUUUCAUUUAUUUAUACAUUUAUCUGUGUGUGUAUUUGUACAUCCACCCAUGAAUUUAUCAAAGCAUCAUCCAUUCAUUCACCCACCCACCCAUUUUUCUCCAUGAUCUCACCCCAUUAACAAUUUGUAGAAAAUAGUCUGACAAAUUCACCCAAAAAGGCAGUAAAGGAAAAGGAUUUUCCAUCCAUUAUCCAUUCUUUUUUUCUGCCUUAAUUUUCCUUUCUACCAUCUCUCCUGCAUAUCUCUUCCUCUGUCUCUGGAGAGUUACAGGAGUGAAAACGAGAUGGGUCCUGAGAGUUGGUAUGGGGAGUAAAUUGCUUGGUGACAGCUUGGUUCCAGGGACGGAUGAAAACCUUAGCCUUAAGCAAAGUUCAGGGAAGCCCAAGGAGAGAGCUGAUGGACAGUCUGACUUGUUGAGGGUGAAAUCAAUUAAAGUACAUCAAAUCCAGAAUUCAUGCUUUCUCAGAGUGACAAAUCUAUGCUGGAAACUGAGAAAGACGAAAGGAGAAAAUUGCCUUUGACCUUUUGAAGACCGGCUGUUCCUUCUGUCAGGGGAGCCAGGCCUGGAGUGAGAUGCGUUCAUGAUGAAUUAUAACAGCCAGCCACCUUAAAAAAGAACGGGGUGAAAAGGUUACCAAAGAGAACCAAAAUGUGAGGAAUUCAACCAAACAUCAAGAUAAAUCAACUCAGGGCCAGGAGUAUUUGUGCCAUGCCUGCUCAGAGCCGCUAUGGACAAGCUCAGUUUGUUAGUUCAGCUCUUUGAAGCAUGAUAUGUAGACACACUUGCAUGUUCACACACAUUGUUUGCUAAACUGUGGGAAGGUAAUCAGAAGAGAAGAGCCACGAGGUUGUCAAUCUAGCAUCAGAAAUUUGGUGGCAUAGGAUUUCUCUACAAUGCUGUCCACUAAAACUUUUUGUAAUGAUGAAGAUAUCCUAUAGCCAAGCUGACCAAUACAAUAGACAUUAGUCAUAUGUGACUGUUGAGCACUUGAAUAUGGGUAGUGAAAUUGAAGAACUGAAUUUUUAUUUUUAGAUUUUAAUUAUUUUAAAUUUAAGUAGCUGCAGAUGGCUAAAAUUGAAUGGUGAACUUCCAGGACAAAGGAUGUUUUUGCCUUCAACAAUAUCGGAAAAGCAGGGGUGAGUGGAAUGUCAGAUUGCAAUGCAAUUGCUUGUGUUUCUGCGGAGUUCAUGGAAGAAACUCAUUAUACUCAUUUGUAAUGCUUGAUGGUAAAUUUGAUUUUCUCUUUAGAAUGUAGAGAUUAAAUCUUGGUUUAAAACUGCCUCUCUGUGAGCAGUUUCUCCAUCAGUGAAACGGGUGUAAUUUCAACUCGUUGAGAGUGCUCAGUUAUGCAAUAUAUGCAAUGUUUCUUAUCUGUGUCUGAAAACAGUUAAUAAAAGGUUGCUGUGCUUGACGCUAUUACUAUUAUUAGUAUUGUGAUUUAAAAACAAAGGAGGUUGUUGGUGAGAAAACAAGUUGUUCCACCUGGAGAUUUAUGCUGAAAUAACCACUUUACAUCACAACCCACGGAGUCCUUGAUGUUAGCUUGGUUUGUCAAUCCCACCACCAGAUACCAUUUAGAAAAUUGUCAUCUGUUCCUGGAUAACUGGUGUUUUCGUUUCCUAGAGAUCAAACUGAAGAUUGAAGAACAGAAAUCAUUUGUUGACAAUUGUCCUAGUUUCUUACUGGUUCCUCACUGAGGGGAAUUUUCCAAAUAACUAUGAUUUGCAUUCUUCAGCAUCCAGAUUAAUAUUACCUUUGCCAAAUUUGAGUCAUUUUGCCUGAAAAGCAUUCUUACCAAGUUUUACCAAGUUUUAAUAUUUCCUGUCUUUAGAAAAAAAAUAUACAACAAGACUUAACCUUUUAAAAUUUUUUUCUGAAACACACACACACACAUCCAUAUGCACACAAGCACACACACACACACACUUACCCAGAGGCAUAAAAUUUACAUAACAUAAAAUUAACUUUUGGUUGCUUCCACCUUUUGGUUAAUGUGGAUAGUGCUGUUAUGAUACAAUAAGCUGUUCAAUAAUUCGUUUCAGUACCUGUUUUCAAUUCUUUUCGGUAUAUACCUAUGAGUAGAAUUGCUGGAUUGUAUGUUAAUUCUAUGUUUAACAUUUUGAGGAAUUGCAAAACUGUUUUCCAUAAUGGCUGCAUCAUUUUACACUCCUACCAGCAAUGUAAUGCUCACCAACACUUGUUAUUCUCCUUUUAAAAAAAUUAUAACUAUCCUAGUGGGGGUGAAGUGGUAUCUCAUUGUGUUUUUUUAUUUGCAUUUCCCUAACAAGUAAUGAUAUUGAGCAUCUUUUCAUGUGCUUAUUGGCUGUUUGUAUAUCUUAUUCAGAGAAAUGUCUAUUCAAGUUAUUUACUUAUUUUAUUGCCUAAUUGCUCUGGCUAGAAUUUCUCAUGCAACAUUAAAUGGCAGUGAUGAAAGUGGACACCCUUGCCUUAUUCCUGAUUUUAGGAAGAAAGCUUUCAGUCUUUCAUAAUUCUCUGUGAUUCUUACUGUGGGGUUUUCAUAAGCGUUCUUUCUCAAUUUAAGGAAAUUCCCUUCCAUUCCUAAUUUUAUGAGUAUUUUAAAAAAUUAUCAAAGGUAUUGGAUUUUGUCAAAUGCUUUUUCUGGGUUGUAUGAGAUUACAUAUUUUUUCUUUGUUCUAUCAAAAUGUUGCAUUACAUUGGUUUUCUUUUUCUUUUCUUUUUUUUUUUUUUUGAGACGGAGUCUUGCUCUUGGACUCCUUGAACCACCCUUGGACUCCUGGGGUAAAUACCACUUGGUCAUGGUGCAUAAACCUUUUAAUAAGCUGUUGAAUUUUGUCUGCUGGUAUUUUGUUAUGGAUUUUUGCAUCUGCAUUAAUUGGUGUGUAAUGGCAUCUUUGUCUAGUUUUGAUAUCAGGGCAAUAUUACAUUCAUAGAAUAAGUCAGCAUGCAUUUCCUUCUCUUCUCUUUUUUUUCUUGGAAAAGAUUGAAAAAACUUGAUGUUAUUUCUUCUUUAAACAUUUGGUAGAAUUCACAGGUGGAGACAUAAUCUUUUUUUUUUUAAUUCAGUCUCUUUACUUGUUGUGUUAUAGGUUUGUGCAGAUUUUCGUUUUCCUCUUGAGUCAGUUUUAGUAAUUUGUGUGUUUCUAGGGAUUAUUAUACUUCAUGUAGGUUAUAUAAUUUGUUGGCAUACUGUUUGUUGGCAUGUUGUUCAUAGUAUUCUCUAAAAAGCCUUUUUAUUUCUGUAAGGUGGAUAGUAAUGUCUCCACUUUUAUUUCUGAUUUUAGUUAUUUGCAUCUUUUAUUAUUUUCUUUUCUGUUUUUUUUUUUGUUGUUGUUUUGUUUUUGUCAGUCCAGCUAAAGGCUUGUCAAUAUUCUCAACCUUUCCAAAGAACCAAUUUUUGGUUUUGUUAAUUCUCUUCAUUGUUUUCCUGGUCUCUUUUGUUUAUCUCUUCUUUUGUUUUCUUCCUGUCAUUAUCUCUCUUCUUCAUCUAAUUUUUAGUAAAGUUUGUUCUUAUUUUUCUAGUUCCUUAAGAUGUAAAGUUUGGUUAUUAAUUAGAGGAUUUUUCUUUUUCCCCUCCCUGAGAUGGAUUCUCACUCUGUUACCCAGGCUGGAGUGCAGUGGUGUGAUCUCUGCUCACGGCAACCCCCGCCGCCUGGGUUCAAGCGAUUCUCCUGCCUCAGCCUCCCGAG
rnacentral:lncRNA from 10 species